UCCUUGGUGGUCUAGUGGUUGGGAUUCAGUGCUUUCACUGCUAAGGCCCAGGUUCAAUUCCUGGUCUGCGAA
rfam:Sus scrofa breed Duroc isolate TJ Tabasco Contig996_1, whole genome shotgun sequence.